rnacentral:lncRNA from 1 species
GGUGUGAUACAUAAGUUGUGCCGGAAAUUUUUAGAUUUAAGAGUUGCCAUUAAUCUGAUUGAAUGAUUCUGAACAAGGAAGAGAUCAUUGUUCGAGUACAUUAUCUGUAGAUGUUUAAAUUAUCUUUUAGCUUAGAUGACAAUAUUUUCGCAAUACAUUAACCUUAUAAUUUGUACUAAAAAUACUAAGUGACAUUUCGAAACAACUUUCUUCUGACAUGAUGACCGGCACUCUCCUCUUCAUAUUGUUCAACUUAUCUAUACAUUGGACAUAAAUCUUCCUA